UGGGUUGGCCAAAAAGUUCGUUCAUGUUUUCCCAUAAGACAUUACGAAAACCCAGACAAACUUUUUGGCAAACCCAAU
rnacentral:miRNA from 1 species